UUUAAAAGCUUUUUGGGCAUUGGGGUCAGUGACCUCCAUUUGAAAGCUUGGAAGGCUAAAGAAGAGAAAGGUAAAUUAUUCAAAAACAACGACCAACUGAAAAGUUGCUAGAAAUAAGAUAUUUUGCUGUGAUUUAUGUACAAGUGAUUUUGUUAUCUUAACUGUGUUUUUAGGUCUUUUUGACUCCAGGACUAUAGAGGGCUCUGUUUAAUGCAUACUGAUUUAGUACAGUACUAACGUGUCUGUUGAAAGUACAGCCCCUUGUACUGCUAGGUGAACCUGCGCUCUGUUCUGGCUUCUGCAGGCUGCAGGCACCUCCAUUCUCUGUACUGAAGUUUUCCUUCUGCAGUCUGUAGCCCAGAUUCUGCCCAUUACUCUCAGCUGAUCUGUAUUAAUCACAGGUGAUGCUCAUUUCCAGGCACCUCCCAGCAGAGAUUGCCCACAUACACUGUAAUGCUGCAUUCAACUCACUGCCUGCUCAUGGGUCAGCCUUUGGUCUGCAAAUACUGAGCUGUGAUUGUAUCCGGAAUCCAGUUCCUGAGCUCUGAUCCUUGCCUUGCCGAAGCUCCUGGGUUCCCUCAAUCCUCUUCUUGCUACUGGAUGUACUACUUGGCAUGCACAUUGUGCCCUUCGUCAGUUUUGCAGUUUGAUGGGUCAGUAUAUACAAUGUGCAAGAUACAGCUGUAAAGGGAAAUCAUUAUUCACAGCACAUGAAGAUAUCCAGAUGGCACAAUAAAGGCCAAUGGCAGCUGAGAGAGAAAGCUGCAAAUUAGCUAACGAAGCAGCAAGACAAAAGUAAAGAUGUAAAAGGUGAUUGGAGGGUUAACUUGAAAAUCUUUUUAUGGUGAAAUUCUAUUCACUGAAGGUCCCAAAGGCUGGAUCAGCAUGACUGCAUUCUGCAGAUGCAUUAAAUAGCUGAAAGAACAAGCCUGAGAUCUACAGCUGGUAUAGCAAUAUUGGCAGGUUGGACCCUGAUAUUUAAAUCUAACAUUGCCUUUAUUAUACAAAUAAGCUGUGUAAUGAAGACUAUAAAUCAAUGUAAAGAAUGCAUGCAGUCAACUGCAUAUUUUACAAGCUCUAUCUAUUUUAAGGAUUUUCUUUUGGCAGGCCAGAAUCCAGCUGGACAUGCAAUAUUUACACAUCAAAAUUAAUAAAAUGACUAAGAUUUUCAA